GCUUUUGUUUAAAGUUACACAGUUAUGCCUGGAUUAAAUAACAAUAGCAAAACUUGAGAAGCCCUCUGAAAAACAGCUGCUCAACAUACUGCUUUCUGGAAAGUAAUCAUUAAGAAUAAAUAUUCUCUUGUUCUAUACAAUUGCCGAAUGGUAGUGGAAAUUUCUUGUAGGCUACUUGAAUGUCAAUUGCACUGAAGUGGCCUCUAGACAUACCAGAUGAUUCGGGCCUCUUUGAUGAUCUGAAGGGAGCUACUUAAAUACACUUACAUAAAG
rnacentral:lncRNA from 1 species